AUUUUCCCCCCUCCCAACCAAGGAUGGCAAACGCCUGAUUAUCUUAUGUCUCAUAAGAUUAUCCUGUUGUGUGAGGUGUGUUAAGAGUCAAUUUGUCCUGAUAAUCUGCUAGGUAAAGGGUAGGGGUCGACAGUAAAUAUUAAACUUUUUCAAUAUUUCCGGUCAAAAAUCCUCGUGUGUGGGGAAAGUCGACGACCUCCAAGUCCUGACUCCGUGAAUUGUGACGUGGAACGGACGUGGAACGGAGUCAGAGAGCUGACUGAGGAACAAGGAAGCAGACAUAGGAAAUAAACAAGUAAGCAUGGCCGACCCGAAGCACAGAGGUGGACGUCGGAAAUGGAGGACCAGCUCGUAGAUCUGUGGAAAAUACAGGAAUGUUUAUAUAAUAUCUCCGCCAAGUUGUAUCACAACAGGAAUGACAAGGGCAAGAGUUGGUGAAGAAAUUGCCAGUGCCAUGGAGUUAUCAGUGGAAGAAGUAUGUGCAAAAGCCACAUCAUUAAGGACCCAGUAUUCCAAAGUACUGAAAAGCAAACCCAGUGGGAGUGGAGAGAUGGCCUUGACGGGAAAGCAAAAGUAGAUGCUCAAGUUCCUGUCCUUCUUGAAAACACACGUCAUCCAACGUGCUACAGAGGCCAGUCUUCCCACCUCCAUGAAAGAUACCCUGGCUGCAGAGAAGCUUCCAAGUGAUGAAGAUGAAGUGCCCGAGCUGUCAGAAGAUCCGAAGUCAGCAAGUGCCUCUCAGUCUCGAUCAUCUAGAGUCAAGCGGCAGAUCGUGACGGCUUUAUAUGAGACUCAGGAAUCUACAUACCAUCCACAACCCUCCUCUCUAAACACACACACACAAGCACUACCUCUCCAUGUACCUCCACCUUUUCAAACCUAUACACACAUACAAGCACUACCUCAUCAAUACCAGCCUCAUCUCAGUCAGACUAGCUUCCAGAGAAUGCUAGAGAGUGAUGACGACACAUCACAGGGGCAGUUGGAGCAGUAUUAACGGAGUAUUAAAAAACAAAAAAAAAAAAAAA